GAUGAACGCUGGCGGCGUGCCUAAUACGUGCAAGUCGAACGCUGGAGAUCUAGCUUGCUAGAUCGAAGGAGUGGCGAACGGGUGAGUAAUACAUAAGCAACCUACCCACGAAGACUGGGAUAAUCUCUGGAAACGGGGACUAAUACCGGAUAGGUAAUCGGAAGGCAUCUUCUGGUUAUUAAAGGUUAAAAACACUGGUGGAUGGGCUUAUGGCGCAUUAGUUAGUUGGUGAGGUAACGGCCCACCAAGACGAUGAUGCGUAGCCGGCCUGAGAGGGUGAACGGCCACAUUGGGACUGAGACACGGCCCAGACUCCUACGGGAGGCAGCAGUAGGGAAUUUUCGGCAAUGGGGGCAACCCUGACCGAGCAACGCCGCGUGAGUGAAGACGGCCUUCGGGUUGUAAAGCUCUGUUGUAAGGGAAGAACGGUAGAUAGAGAAUAUCUAAGUGACGGUACCUUACCAGAAAGCCACGGCUAACUACGUG
rnacentral:rRNA from 1 species